AGUGAACGCUGGCGGUAGGCCUAACACAUGCAAGUCGAACGGCAGCACAGUAAGAGCUUGCUCUUACGGGUGGCGAGUGGCGGACGGGUGAGGAAUACAUCGGAAUCUACUUUUUCGUGGGGGAUAACGUAGGGAAACUUACGCUAAUACCGCAUACGACCUACGGGUGAAAGCAGGGGAUCUUCGGACCUUGCGCGAUUGAAUGAGCCGAUGUCGGAUUAGCUAGUUGGCGGGGUAAAGGCCCACCAGGGCGACGAUCCGUGGCUGGUCUGAGAGGAUGAUCAGCCACACUGGAACUGAGACACGGUCCAGACUCCUACGGGAGGCAGCAGUGGGGAAUAUUGGACAAUGGGCGCAAGCCUGAUCCAGCCAUACCGCGUGGGUGAAGAAGGCCUUCGGGUUGUAAAGCCCUUUUGUUGGGAAAGAAAAGCAGCAGGUUAAUACCCCGCUGUUCUGACGGUACCCAAAGAAUAAGCACCGGCUAACUUCGUG
rnacentral:rRNA from 1 species